rnacentral:tRNA from 1 species
CCUGCGCGUGGUCGAGGACGAUCUGCACGGCGUUGCCGUCGCCGUCGGUGACGAACGCGGUGCGCAGGGUCUCGUGCCGGUCGAGCAGGGCC